rnacentral:rRNA from 1 species
AGUGAACGCUGGCGGUAGGCCUAACACAUGCAAGUCGAACGGCAGCACAGUAAGAGCUUGCUCUUACGGGUGGCGAGUGGCGGACGGGUGAGGAAUACAUCGGAAUCUACUUUUUCGUGGGGGAUAACGUAGGGAAACUUACGCUAAUACCGCAUACGACCUACGGGUGAAAGCAGGGGAUCUUCUGACCUUGCGCGAUUGAAUGAGCCGAUGUCGGAUUAGCUAGUUGGCGGGGUAAAGGCCCACCAAGGCGACGAUCCGUAGCUGGUCUGAGAGGAUGAUCAGCCACACUGGAACUGAGACACGGUCCAGACUCCUACGGGAGGCCGCAGUGGGGACUAUUGGACAAUGGGCGCAAGCCUGAUCCAGCCAUACCGCGUGGGUGAAGAAGGCCUUCGGGUUGUAAAGCCCUUUUGUUGGGAAAGAAAAGCAGCAGGUUAAUACCCCGCUGUUCUGACGGUACCCAAAGAAUAAGCACCGGCUAACUUCGUG